GGGCAUAUGGCGAAAUUGGCAGACGCGCUGGAUUUAGGUUCCAGUGGAGAAAUCCAUCAGAGUUCAAAUCUCUGUAUGCCCACCA
rnacentral:tRNA from 1 species